rnacentral:rRNA from 1 species
UACGUAGGGUGCGAGCGUUGUCCGGAAUUACUGGGCGUAAAGAGCUCGUAGGUGGUUUGUCGCGUUGUUCGUGAAAUCUCACGGCUUAACUGUGAGCGUGCGGGCGAUACGGGCAGACUGGAGUUCGGUAGGGGAGACUGGAAUUCCUGGUGUAGCGGUGAAAUGCGCAGAUAUCAGGAGGAACACCGAUGGCGAAGGCAGGUCUCUGGGCCAUAACUGACGCUGAGAAGCGAAAGCAUGGGGAGCGAACAGG